rnacentral:lncRNA from 1 species
AAACAUACAUCAUCCAUAUCAUAUAUUCAUCAACCUAUUUCAUUCAUAAUUCACAAAUCAAAACAUAUACCAAAAACUUACCAAAUUGACCAUUUCUUUUAGCCAACCAAAAACACCUCAUAUUAGCAACUUUGCAUCACAUAUCAUAUACCAAAUUCAAACCAUGAUCACAACCAAAACCUAGCCAUAUCACAUGGCUAAAUAUAUACAUCACAAAACAUAAUCAAAGUACUUCUAGCCUAUACAUGUCAUACUUUAAUAUUCACAUUUUCAAAAGGUACCAAAAUAUAGUUCGAUAGUGUGGUGACGAUCCUCAAUGAUACCCGAGCUUCUAGUAGCUUCGAUAUCUAUAAAAAAUUUGAAAGACACAAAGUAAUAUUUCAAAAGCUUAGUAAGCCAUAUACAAAUAAACUUAACAAUAUAAACAUAUAAGCAUCAUAAUAUACAUAUACUCCUUAACCAAAUGCUAUCACAAAACACAUAACUCAAAUACAUUUCACAUAUUCCCCAUUCAUUUGCACAUAAUGCAUGUUUUCUCAUACUUUUUUCACAUACAAUCACUUGGUCACAAAGAUACAUAUACUUACCUUUCAACAUCAAAUAUGAUAUACAAUUUCAAACGUACCUAAAUCGGAUACACAUUUCAUAUAAUCAUUCGUUUCUCCGAAUGCCCGUUGAACCGUUCGGAAUCAUAAGGAUACGUAGAUAGCUCAGAAAGCUCAUACAAUGCCAAGUCCUAGACGUGGUCUUACAUGUAAUCAAAUAUCGAUGCCACUGUCCCAAAUAAGGUCUUACACGAAAUCAAAUACGAUGCCAAUGUCCCAGAUAUGGUCUUACACAUAAAUCAUAAGUCGAUGCCAACAUCCCAGACGUGGUCUUACACGAGAACACAUAUCGGAUCCUAUGUCAUGACAUAUGUAUCCUAACUAUUCCUAAGGUUCGUACAAGGCUUUUCGGAUGUCGGAACUUUGUCGAUAUUUUCUCAGAUGUCUCAUAUUUCUCAACUCAUACAAUCAUUCAUCAUAGUUCAAUAGCAGAUAAUCGAUAGUAAUUCAAUUCAAAACACAUUUAUUUGUAUAUAGACUUACCUCGUAGGGAAAUGAACGAAAACGAGCAACUAUUCAACGACUUUCGUUUCCCCCCGAUCUAAUUCUGUUUUCUUUGGUUCUUGAUCUAAACACAUUCAAAUUUAACCCUUUUAUUCACCAAAUCAUUCAAUUCAAUCAAAAAACACAUAUUUAGGAUAUUUUACAAAUUAGCCCUCAAUUUUUACAUUUUGACACUUUAGUCCUUAAUUCACAAAAUCAUAAAAUACACAAAAUUUAUAUAUACCCAUGUUAAUUCAAAUUCUCAUAGUAUUCAUAUAAGCCCAUAUAUUUCAUUUAUUUCAUAUUUUAUUCCCUCAAAAUCUCCUUUUUAUAAUUUAGUCCAAAUUUCUCAAAUUCAUCAAAAGUUCGAAGACAAAACUUAGUAAUCUAACACAUAUCUUUCAUGUACUACCAUCAAACUUCAUAAAGCUCACAUUAUCAAUAAUGGAAUAACUCAAAAUCAUCAACAAAAUUAGAAAUUGAGACAUGGGCUUGAUAGUAUACAGAGCAACGAUCACAAAAAUAUAGAAAUUAUCAAAAACGGAUCAAAACACAUACCUUAAUCAAAGAAAUCAAUUACCAAACCCUAGAUUGUAUUUUUGUUUCUUUUUCUUCGUGUUUUUAGGUUAUGGA